rnacentral:rRNA from 1 species
GACGAACGCUGGCGGCGUGCUUAACACAUGCAAGUCGAACGGAAAGGCCCUACUUUUGUGGGGUGCUCGAGUGGCGAACGGGUGAGUAACACGUGAGUAACCUGCCCUUGACUUUGGGAUAACUUCAGGAAACUGGGGCUAAUACCGGAUAGGAGCUCCUGCUGCAUGGUGGGGGUUGGAAAGUUUCGGCGGUUGGGGAUGGACUCGCGGCUUAUCAGCUUGUUGGUGGGGUAGGGGCUUACCAAGGCUUUGACGGGUAGCCGGCCUGAGAGGGUGACCGGCCACAUUGGGACUGAGAGACGGCCCAGUCUCCUACGGGAGGCAGCAGUGGGGAAUAUUGCACAGUGGGCGGAAGCCUGAUGCAGCAACGCCGCGUGCGGGAUGACGGCCUUCGGGUUGUAAACCGCUUUCGCCUGUGACGAAGCGUGAGUGACGGUAAUGGGUAAAGAAGCACCGGCUAACUACGUG